rnacentral:lncRNA from 1 species
UGAAUAUGUUUGGAUAAGUAAAUGACACAGUUAUUAUGACUACAGUUACCCGAAGUGUGUUUUCACUGUAGGAUUUCAUCCAGAAAGGCUGUAUACAAAGCACUGUGAAAUAGUUGCAGCUAGAUGAGAGUAAAACAGCAACAAAUGAAGGCCAGGAGAAUUGGAAGAUGAAAGCUUCAUGGCAAUGUGGCUGUCCUACUUUUCCACGCCUGCUUGUUUUCAAAGCAAACUGAAAGCAGACGAACAUGGGAACAGACUCCUGCUCAAGACUGGGCUUUGCUGCAAGGAGUGAACUACCUCCCCAGGGAGAUGGAUGAGAGUGGCUCCAUCAGCCUCCUUUUCCUGCAAAGGACUUGCUGGUCUUCUCACCUGAAGCUAUUUGAAGGAUUUAGGCACACUGGACCUCCCCAUGACCCCACAAGCUAAAUCAGUCCAUCCGCUGCUGAACAAGAAUGUUUAUAUGAAAACCAACUGUUCCUUGACCCCCUGACUUAAACAGAAAAAUGCAUCUACACAAAGAAUUACAGCAACAGAAUACUUACAACAUAUACUCGAGUACACAUUCUUUGCUUUCUGAUAAAUUUCCAUUUUCACUGCAAAGGAAUUUACGGUGUCUUAAACCCCUCCUCAUAACACUUCUCAAGACCUGCUGCUGCUUCCCAGCUGGAGUGAUGGCCAAUACCACACUGCUUGAAACACAAUAG